rnacentral:rRNA from 1 species
AAUAUUGGAAAAGGGGGGGAACCCUGAUCCAGCCAUGCCGCGUGUGUGAAGAAGGACAUAUGGAUGUAAAGCACUUUAAGCGAAGAGGUGGAGCUCUUGACUAAUACCCAAGAUGUCUGGACGUGACUCGCAGAAUAAGCACCGGCUAACUCUGUGCCAGCAGCCGCGGUAAUACAGAGGGUGCAAGCGUUAAUCGGAUUUACUGGGCGUAAAGCGCGCGUAGGUGGCCAAUUAAGUCAAAUGUGAAAUCCCCGAGCUUAACUUGGGAAUUGCAUUCGAUACUGGUUGGCUAGAGUAUGGGAGAGGAUGGUAGAAUUCCAGGUGUAGCGGUGAAAUGCGUAGAGAUCUGGAGGAAUACCGAUGGCGAAGGCAGCCAUCUGGCCUAAUACUGACACUGAGGUGCGAAAGCAUGGGGAGCAAACAG